AUUUAAGGAGGGCAUAGUGGUUUGAGUGUUGGACUACAACUCUGGAGACCAGGGUUCAAUUCCCUGCUUGGACU